AGAAGAUGGUAAGGGCAAACGGUGGAUGCCUUGGCACAAGAAGCCGAUGAAGGACGUGAUAAGCUGCGAUAAGCCACGGUAAGGAGCACAUAUCCUGUGACCCGUGGAUUUCCGAAUGGGUAAACCCACCAAGAGUCAUUUCUUGGUACUUCCUGCUGAAUAUAUAGGCAGGAUAGAGGUAACCGGGGGAACUGAAACAUCUAAGUACCCCGAGGAAGAGAAAUCAAACGAGAUUCCCCUAGUAGUGGCGAGCGAACGGGGAUAUAGGACAAACCGUCAGUUGCGCAAGCGCUGGCGGGGUUGUAGGACCAUUCAUUGUGGAGUUACAAAACUUCGUGGAAGCAGAAUAGCUUGGAAAAGCUGGCGAGACAGGGUAAAAGCCCCGUACGCGAAUCUGCGAAGACUCCCGAGUGGCACCUGAGUACUGCCGGACACGUGAAACCCGGUGGGAACCUGGGGGGUCCACCCUCCAAUCCUAAAUACUCUCUUGUGACCGAUAGUGAACCAGUACCGUGAGGGAAAGGUGAAAAGCACCCCUAGCGGGGAGUGAAAUAGUACCUGAAACCGUUUGCCUACAAGCAGUCGGAGCAGACUUUUGUCUGUGACGGCGUGCCUUUUGUAGAAUGAGCCAGCGAGUUACGGCAUGUGGCAAGGUUAAGCUAAAAAGCGAGCCGCAGCGAAAGCGAGUCUGAAUAGGGCGAGUGAGUCGCAUACCGUAGACGCGAAGCCAGGUGAGCUAUCCAUGAGCAGGCUGAAGCGGGGGUAAGACCCCGUGGAGGGCCGAACCCACUUAGGUUGAAAACUGAGGGGAUGACUUGUGGAUAGGAGUGAAAGGCCUAUCAAACCUGGAGAUAUCUCGUUCUCUCCGAAAUAGCUUUAGGGCUAGCCUCGGAUGUUUACCAAUGGGGGUAGAGCACUGAAUAGUUGCGGGGGCUUCACCGCCUACCAAGAUUAAUCAAACUCCGAAUACCAUUGGUCUAGAAUCCGGGAGUCAGAAUAUGUGGGCUAAGCUGUGUAUUCGAAAGGGAAACAGCCCAGACCGCCCGCUAAGGUCCCAAAAUCAAUGCUAAGUGGCAAAGGAUGUGCGUUUGCUCAGACAACCAGGAUGUUGGCUUAGAAGCAGCCAUUCAUUUAAAGAGUGCGUAAUAGCUCACUGGUCGAGUGGACAUGCGCCGACAAUAUACGGGGCUAAGCAUUGUACCGAAGCGGCGGAUCAGUACUUUGUACUGGUGGUAGGAGAGCUUUCUGUACGGGUUGAAGCAGUUGGAUAACCAACUGUGGACUGUCCAGAAGUGAGAAUGCUGGCAUGAGUAACGAGAGACAUGUAAAAAACAUGUCCGCCGUAAACCCAAGGUUUCCUGGGCAAGGCUAAUCCUCCCAGGGUUAGGCGGGAGCUAAGGCAAGGCCGGAAGGCGUAGUCGAUGCACAACAGGUAGAAAUUCCUGUCCCUCCAAAAGAGCGUUAUCACCAAUGGGGUGACGGAGCAGGGUAGCUAGGCGGGGUUCUGGACGUCCCCGUGAUGGCACGUAGGCUGAGAAGUAGUGAAAUGCGCUUCUCGUGACGGCUGAGGUGUCGGACGAAGCAAUUGAGUGAAGCUAGUAAGCCCAUACUUCCAAGAAAAACCUCUAGGGAGCUCUGAGGAGCCCGUACCGCAAACCGACACAGGUGGGUGGGUAGAGCAUACCAAGGCGAUCGGGAGAACUAUGGUUAAGGAACUCGGCAAAAUUGCCCCGUAACUUCGGGAGAAGGGGUGCCGGUUUCGGUGAAGGGAUUUACUCCCCGAGCUAAGAUCGGUCACAGUAAAUAGGUCCAAGCGACUGUUUAUCAAAAACACAGGACUCUGCUGAAGUCGUAAGACGACGUAUAGGGUCUGACGCCUGCCCGGUGCCGGAAGGUCACGAGGAGUUGUUAGCAUUAGCGAAGCAGCGAAUCUAAGCCCCGGUAAACGGCGGCCGUAACUAUAACGGUCCUAAGGUAGCGAAAUUCCUUGUCGGGU
rnacentral:rRNA from 2 species